CACAAUACAGCUGUUCUACCACAGGUAGGCCCCAGUACCCACAAUACAGCUGCUCUACAACAGGUAGGCCCCAGUACCCACAGUACAGCUGCUCUACAACAGGUAGGCCCCAGUACCCACAAUACAGCUGCUCUACAACAGGUAGACCCAG